UACGUAGGGGGCGAGCGUUGUCCGGAAUUAUUGGGCGUAAAGAGCUCGUAGGCGGUUUGUCACGUCGGCUGUGAAAACCUAGGGCUCAACCCUGGGCCUGCAGCCGAUACGGGCAAACUAGAAUUCGGUAGGGGAGACUGGAAUUCCUGGUGUAGCGGUGAAAUGCGCAGAUAUCAGGAGGAACACCGGUGGCGAAGGCGGGUCUCUGGGCCGAUAUUGACGCUGAGGAGCGAAAGCGUGGGGAGCGAACAGG
rnacentral:rRNA from 1 species